rnacentral:rRNA from 1 species
AUUGAACGCUGGCGGCAGGCCUAACACAUGCAAGUCGAGCGAGCGGCGGACGGGUGAGUAAUGUCUGGGAAACUGCCUGAUGGAGGGGGAUAACUACUGGAAACGGUAGCUAAUACCGCAUACCAUCAGAUGUGCCCAGAUGGGAUUAGCUAGUAGGUGGGGUAAUGGCUCACCUAGGCGACGAUCCCUAGCUGGUCUGAGAGGAUGACCGGCGACACUGGAACUGAGGCACGGUCCAGGCGCCUACGGGAGGCGGCAGUGGGGAAUAUUGCACAAUGGUCGCAAGCCUGAUGCAGCCAUGCCGCGUGUAUGAAGAAGGCCUUCGGGUUGUAAAGUACUGUCAGCGGGGAGGCGUUACCCGCAGAAGAAGCACCGGCUAACUCCGUGCCAGCAGCCGCGGUAAUUC